GGCUCUAUAGUUCAAUGGCUAGAACAUUUGCCUUGUAAGCAAAAGAUCUGAGUUCAAAUCUCAGUGGAGCCAC
rnacentral:tRNA from 1 species